rnacentral:rRNA from 1 species
UGGGGAAUAUUGCACAAUGGGCGCAAGCCUGAUGCAGCCAUGCCGCGUGUAUGAAGAAGGCCUUCGGGUUGUAAAGUACUUUCAGCGGGGAGGAAGGUGUUGAGGUUAAUAACCUCAGCAAUUGACGUUACCCGCAGAAGAAGCACCGGCUAACUCCGUGCCAGCAGCCGCGGUAAUACGGAGGGUGCAAGCGUUAAUCGGAAUUACUGGGCGUAAAGCGCACGCAGGCGGUCUGUCAAGUCGGAUGUGAAAUCCCCGGGCUCAACCUGGGAACUGCAUUCGAAACUGGCAGGCUAGAGUCUUGUAGAGGGGGGUAGAAUUCCAGGUAUAGCGGUGAAAUGCGUAGAGAUCUGGAGGAAUACCGGUGGCGAAGGCGGCCCCCUGGACAAAGACUGACGCUCAGGUGCGAAAGCGUGGGGAGCAAACA